rnacentral:rRNA from 1 species
UACAGAGGGUGCAAGCGUUAAUCGGAAUUACUGGGCGUAAAGGGCGCGCAGGCGGUUUGGCGAGUGUGAUGUGAAAGCCCCGGGCUUAACUUGGGAAGAGCAUCGCAAACGGCCAGACUGGAGUAGAUGAGAGGGUGGCGGAAUUUCCGGUGUAGCGGUGAAAUGCGUAGAGAUCGGAAGGAACGUCAAUGGCGAAGGCAGCCACCUGGCAUCAUACUGACGCUGAGGCGCGAAAGCGUGGGGAGCGAACAGG